UGGGGAAUAUUGCACAAUGGGCGCAAGCCUGAUGCAGCCAUGCCGCGUGUAUGAAGAAGGCCUUCGGGUUGUAAAGUACUUUCAGCGGGGAGGAAGGCGAUAAGGUUAAUAACCUUGUCGAUUGACGUUACCCGCAGAAGAAGCACCGGCUAACUCCGUGCCAGCAGCCCCGGUAAUACGGAGGGUGCAAGCGUUAAUCGGAAUUACUGGGCGUAAAGCGCACGCAGGCGGUCUGUCAAGUCGGAUGUGAAAUCCCCGGGCUCAACCUGGGAACUGCAUUCGAAACUGGCAGGCUAGAGUCUUGUAGAGGGGGGUAGAAUUCCAGGUGUAGCGGUGAAAUGCGUAGAGAUCUGGAGGAAUACCGGUGGCGAAGGCGGCCCCCUGGACAAAGACUGACGCUCAGGUGCGAAAGCGUGGGGAGCAAACA
rnacentral:rRNA from 1 species